CCUUUUGCCUUCUGCCUCGUCAUCCGGUUUUGCCCACACACUCCCAGUCCCCGGCGAGCUCCUCCGGUUAACGCGGCGGCGGCCGGCGGCAGUCUGCCAUUUCGCGAGCCGCCUCCGCUUCCGCCUCCACUCCGUCCGCCAUUUUGCCCUCGACGUAGCCCUUGUCGUCCUCGAUCCUCAAUGGCCCGGCUGACGGCAACAACUGGUCGAAAUCUAUACAAGCCCUAACCAUGUUUAAUCAUCUUUCCGCCUCCCGGGUUCUAGACUACAUGCCCGGAACCUCCUGCGGAUGUUCGCUGCCUUCGGAAAGUGUACUGGGAGAUGUGUUGCCAGCGCUGCAGGAACCUAUUGUGGGAUGGAAUAGGUAUGAAAAGGCAGCAAUAUUGUAAUGGGAUGUUCAGGGAGGAAGAUUAGUGGACUGGCAGCAAUCGACUUAAUAAGCUUUGCAAGCCCAAAGUCUGAAAUCUUUGGAUUGAAGCUGAAGUCCAGCAAUAUGUUGUGAGGCUUGAUGUCAAAAUGGAGGAUGCGUUGAUUACACCCUUGGUGCAGGUACUCCAUUCCUCGGGCGAUGCCUAAAGCAAUAUCGAGCAUUUUAUUCGGUACUAGGAGUUCUGCUGAUGUACUAGGACUAUGUGGAAAUAUAUAUUUCUCCAAUGAUUCAUUGGGCAUGAAUUCAUAAAUUAAAGCCCGACGUGUUCCUUCAGAGCAAAAGCCUAGGAGACGGACAAUGUUUGCAUGGUGGAUUCUCCCAAUGGUUGCAACUUCAUUGAUGAAUUCUUCACCCUCUCCUGUGGAGUGGUCUAGCAUUUUUAUUGCCACAGGAACUCCAUUUGGUAGCUCACCUUUAUAUACACUUCCAAAUCCACCAUGUCCUAGUUUAUCCUUGAAUCGUCUCGCUAUUUUUUUAACUUCAGAGAAAGUGUACCUUGUGGGUUUUGAUGUACCAUAUGUUUUGAGGAACAUUUCAACUUUCAAAUGUAUCUCUUCGUCGUACCUUGACUUCAAGGAGAUGUAGAGGACAGUUGCCACAACUAAUGAAAGAACUACAAACGUGGCUACAGAUGACGUAGCUGAUAAAAAACGAAGUUAGCUACUUGCAUUUGGAGAAUACAUGAUUCCAUAAUUUACUGUCCCUAUGUGUUUCUUUAUUAUCUUUUUAAGAUAAUCAUGGCAUCUCUUAUUUGGAUGAAAAAAAUAUAUGCAUGCUCUUUGUUGAGAGUAUAUAUAUGGGCCUGGCAUUUAAUUGAAAUUUCAUGCAGAAUGAGCAAAAGACUGAGUUAUUUCAUUACCUGCAACAAGGGUGACGUGCAGUCCUGCAUGUAGAAAGAAGAGAAUUAGUAUUCCCAUGAGUCAAUGACUUGUAUAUAAAAAGAAUAAUAUAGUUUUUGAAAAAUAGAAAAAGAAACUGAUUCCAGAUGUUUAUAUGGCUUGUAUCAAAUUUUAGAACCUAAAUGAUUAUAGUCAUAAAAGGGAAUAGGACAGGAGUGAUGAUUCUUUCCUUAACCAACCAUAAAAGGUAAAUGCUAUAAUUUAAAUUAUCCAGCAGGACGGAGAUAUCUAAUGCACUGAUCUUGCAUCACUCCAAAGCAAAAAUGUUCUGGCCUCUACUCUGUUGGUGCCAUACAAUCCCUCUGCUCAUAGUCUACAUAAUACUGGUACAGUCUUUUAACAGCAAGGCCUAUUGUAUUAACACUGAAAAGCAUAACUUUCAACCUUUCUUAUAAGUUAUUGGAAUUGUCACAUAAAUUCAGGUCCGUCAAAUGUGGAUUGUACUAAUGUUCUUUUUUUUUUCUUUUAUUUUUUGCUGAAAUACAGAAAACAGGGUUAUAUCAUAUUAGAAUAUUAGAAUAUAGGUCAUAGAAGAUUAGAUAACUAAUAUAUUGAGAAAUAGGGAAAAAUGGAAUGCUAUUCCAAAAUGAAAAAAGUCACCAUAAUGGUAUGCUCCAAAAAAGAGAAAAAUACCAUGAUGCAAAAAAUAUUGUGCGCUAUUCCAAAAUGAAACAAGUAACCAUAAUGAUAUGGGAUUUCUGCUCCAAAAAGAGAAAAAUACCAUGAUGAUGGCAGAAUGCUUGAGCACUUUGUGAACUGAAACCACAGGGUCGGCCUUCUCGUUCACAUUGUUGACAAAUUCUAGUAAUGUUACUAGAGUACCACAUGAAUACUGUCUCACCAUUGCUGAUGACUCUAUUUGCUGCUUCCUUGAAAUUUGAGAUGUCCCAGUUUAUGCUCCCUAUUUUAUCAUAACUAUAGGGCAUCGGGAUGUCUUUAGAAACAACUGUGCAGCCCAAGGGAAGAACGGACAUGUAUGUAUAGGGAUCAGCCAAAUACCAGGACUGGUUGUUAUUGAGGCUGAGGCAAGAUAUUGGGCCAACUAUGUCGGUGUAUCGAUUUGCAGUCACUUUGCAGGGGCCAAGAACUGGGUGAUCGAGGAUGGUGUCCUGUCCAGAGCAUGAUAAGUUCAAGCCA